rnacentral:rRNA from 1 species
AUUGAACGCUGGCGGCAUGCCUUACACAUGCAAGUCGAACGGUAACAGGUCUUCGGAUGCUGACGAGUGGCGAACGGGUGAGUAAUACAUCGGAACGUGCCUAGUAGUGGGGGAUAACUACUCGAAAGAGUGGCUAAUACCGCAUGAGAUCUACGGAUGAAAGCAGGGGAUCGCAAGACCUUGUGCUAAUAGAGCGGCCGAUGGCAGAUUAGGUAGUUGGUGGGAUAAAGGCUUACCAAGCCGACGAUCUGUAGCUGGUCUGAGAGGACGAUCAGCCACACUGGGACUGAGACACGGCCCAGACUCCUACGGGAGGCAGCAGUGGGGAAUUUUGGACAAUGGGCGCAAGCCUGAUCCAGCAAUGCCGCGUGCAGGAUGAAGGCCUUCGGGUUGUAAACUGCUUUUGUACGGAACGAAAAGCCCUGGGUUAAUACCCUGGGGUCAUGACGGUACCGUAAGAAUAAGCACCGGCUAACUACGUGCCAGCAGCCGCGGUAACAC